UCUUGUGGUUCCUUCUUCUUCUCGUUCUCAUUCUUCUCUUCUCCUUCCAUCCUCUGGUGAGUGUGUUUGGUUUAAACAAAAAGGAAAACCCUCCUGGCCAGCAAGAAUUGCAAUGAAAUCUGAAAUUCCUCCUUCUCUUUUACCCUUCAAAGGGGAAAAUACACACGUGAUUACUUUCUUU
rnacentral:ribozyme from 1 species